rnacentral:lncRNA from 1 species
AAUUCUUUACAUAAGGAUAAAAUUAUAAUUUAAAACUAUUUACUCUCAAUCCAAGACAAAGUAAACACAUAAAUUGGAUUCUGAUCUUCAUUCCAUACUUUCAUUCCAGUGCAAGUAAACAACCUACUCUCACUCCCACUCCACACUCCCAAUCCUAGGAUUCUCACUCCAAUUCAAAAAGUAAACGCUACCUUAGUUAAGUAGAUGCUGGCCUUAAACUUGUGGAAAUCACAAUUUAAUAUCAUCUCAGACAAAUAUAAUGUUUCCAUGUAUUACAACUGAAUAUUAUUAUUAAGGACAAAUUUAUAUAACAAUUCUAAAAAUAAAUAACUAAUACCCAUUUAACAAUGGUUAUUUGCUGUAAACCUUAAUUUCUUAUUUCUAAUUUUAUGAAUCUAUAUCUUGAUUUCAUGUGACAAGCGUUAAAAUAGUGACAAAAAUAAGAGCAUCUCUAAAAAAAUUCAUCUACUUUGACUAUUCAAAUAAAAGGACUACUUAGUUUAUAUAUAUGGCAAAUAAAAGAGUAAAAAUAUAAGCUCCUUUUCAAAAGACUCUUAAAAUUCUUAAUCGAAUUUUUCUCUUAUAAAAUUUAACU